rnacentral:rRNA from 1 species
AUGCCUUCACUCGAAGUGGUUGUGGGCUGCAAAACCUCUGAUGAUCUCCCAUGGUCUGCACUUGAGCUCUCUGCAUCAGAUGAGGCCGAUGCCAUCUUUGGAGCAUCAACAAGGCUGGAGGUAUGGUGCUUCUACUCUAUCGGUGGGACUGUUGAAUCGAUGGAGCCAACAUUCCGUGGAACAAUGCCUCGUGGACUCGGGACAUCAGAGGGUGGCUCCGCCGACGCAAUUAUCCAGUUCUUAGAGUUGUGGCAGAAGAUCAUUAGUCGACAACCGCUUCUCCUGGGCCUAGACUUCUAG